rnacentral:rRNA from 1 species
AGUAAAAGUCGUAACAAGGUUUCCGUAGGUGAACCUGCGGAAGGAUCAUUAUCGAGUUUUUGAACGGGUUGUCUGCUGGCUCGAAAGAGCAUGUGCACGCCUGGCUCAUCCACUCUCAACUUCUGUGCACUUUUCGUAGGCCGGCUUGUGGGUGUCGCGUUCGCGCGCACUUGUAGGUCUGGCUUAUGCUCUACCACAAACGAUUCAGUUAUAGAAUGUCUUUACUUUGCGAUAACGCAAUUAUAUACAACUUUCAGCAACGGAUCUCUUGGCUCUCGCAUCGAUGAAGAACGCAGCGAAAUGCGAUAAGUAAUGUGAAUUGCAGAAUUCAGUGAAUCAUCGAAUCUUUGAACGCACCUUGCGCUCCUUGGUAUUCCGAGGAGCAUGCCUGUUUGAGUCUCGUGGAAUUCUCAACCUUCGACUUUGUUGUCGAGGGCUUGGACUUGGAGGUCGUGCCGGCUCUCGUAGUCGGCUCCUCUGAAAUGCAUCAGUGCGAACGUUACCAGCCGCUUCAGCGUGAUAAUUAUUUGCGCUGCUGUGGAGGGUAUGUCAGUGUUCAUGCUUCGAACCGUCUUCGGACAACAUUUCAUCUCUGAGCUCAAAUCAGGUAGGACUACCCGCUGAACUUAAGCAUAUCAAUAAGCGGAGGA